rnacentral:rRNA from 1 species
UACGUAGGGGGCUAGCGUUGUCCGGAACCAUUGGGCGUAAAGCGCGUGUAGGCGGUCCGGUAAGUCCGCUGUGAAAGUCGGGGGCUCAACCCUCGGAUGCCGGUGGAUACUGUCGGGCUUGAGUACGGAAGAGGCGAGUGGAAUUCCUGGUGUAGCGGUGAAAUGCGCAGAGUAUCAGGAGGAACACCAAUUGCGAAGGCAGCUCGCUGGGACGUUACUGACGCUGAGACGCGAAAGCGUGGGGAGCAAACAGG